GAAACGACUGCUAAGACUGGAUAGGAGAUAAGAAGGCAUCUUCUUAUUUUUAAAAGACCUAGCAAUAGGUAUGCUUAAGGAGGGGCUUGCGUCACAUUAGUUAGUUGGUAGGGUAAAAGCCUACCAAGACGAUGAUGUGUAACCGGGCUGAGAGGUUGAACGGCCACAUCGGAACUGAGACACGGUCCAAACUCCUACGGGAGGCAGCAGUAGGGAAUUUUCGGCAAUGGAGGAAACUCUGACCGAGCAACGCCGCGUGAAUGAUUGAAGUAUUUCGGUAUGUAAAGCUCUUUUAUUAAGGAAGAAAAGAUGGUGGAAAAACCAUUAUGACGGUACUUAAUGAAUAAGCCCCGGCUAACUAUGUGCCAGCAGCCGCGGUAAUACAUAGGGGGCGAGCGUUAUCCGGAAUUAUUGGGCGUAAAGGGUGCGUAGGCGGUUUAAUAAGUUUAUGGUCUAAGUGCAAUGCUUAACAUUGUGAUGCUAUAAAGACUGUUUGACUAGAGUUGGAUAGAGGCAAGUGGAAUUCCAUGUGUAGUGGUAAAAUGCGUAAAUAUAUGGAGGAACAUCAUGAGCGAAGGCGGCUUGCUGGGUCUUAACUGACGCUGAGGCACGAAAGCGUGGGGAGCAAACAGGAUUAGAUACCCUGGUAGUCCACGCCGUAAACGAUGAGUACUAGACGUUGGGUUAAACCAGUGUCGAAGUUAACACAUUAAGUACUCCGCCUGAGUAGUACGUACGCAAGUAUGAAACUUAAAGGAAUUGACGGGACUCCGCACAAGCGGUGGAUCAUGUUGUUUAAUUCGAAGGUACCCGAAAAACCUCACCAGGUCUUGAUAUGCUUCUGCAAAGUUGUAGAAAUACAACGGAGGUUAUCAGUUGCACAGGUGGUGCAUGGUUGUCGUCAGCUCGUGUCGUGAGAUGUUGGGUUAAGUCCCGCAACGAGCGCAACCCUUGUUGUUAAUUGCCAUCAUUAAGUUGGGGACUUUAGCAAAACUGCCAGUGAUAAAUUGGAGGAAGGUGGGGACGACGUCAAAUCAUCAUGCCCCUUAUGACCUGGGCUACAAACGUGAUACAAUGGCUGUUACAAAGGGUAGCUGAAGCGCAAGCUUUUGGCAAAUCUCAAAAAAACAGUCUCAGUUCGGAUUGAAGUCUGCAACUCGACUUCAUGAAGUUGGAAUCGCUAGUAAUCGCGAAUCAGCAUGUCGCGGUGAAUACGUUCUCCGGGUUUGUACACACCGCCCGUCA
rnacentral:rRNA from 1 species